AGUGAACGCUGGCGGUAGGCCUAACACAUGCCAGUCGAACGGCAGCACAGUAAGAGCUUGCUCUUACGGGUGGCGAGUGGCGGACGGGUGAGGAAUACAUCGGAAUCUACUUUUUCGUGGGGGAUAACGUAGGGAAACUUACGCUAAUACCGCAUACGACCUACGGGUGAAAGCAGGGGAUCUUCGGACCUUGCGCGAUUGAAUGAGCCGAUGUCGGAUUAGCUAGUUGGCGGGGUAAAGGCCCACCAAGGCGACGAUCCGUAGCUGGUCUGAGAGGAUGAUCAGCCACACUGGAACUGAGACACGGUCCAGACUCCUACGGGAGGCAGCAGUGGGGAAUAUUGGACAAUGGGCUCAAGCCUGAUCCAGCCAUACCGCGUGGGUGAAGAAGGCCUUCGGGUUGUAAAGCCCUUUUGUUGGGAAAGAAAAGCAGCAGGUUAAUACCCCGCUGUUCUGACGGUACCCAAAGAAUAAGCACCGGCUAACUUCGUG
rnacentral:rRNA from 1 species